rnacentral:rRNA from 1 species
GCAAAGAUUUGGUCCUGGUCUUAUUGUCAGUUAUCUCUUGAUUUACACAUGCAAGUCUCAGCACACCCGUGAGGACGCCCUUCCCCCUUCUAUAGGACAAGGAGCUGAUAUCAGGCACACCAACCGCCCACAACAUCUAGUCCGACCACACCCCCAAGGGUAUUCAGCAGUGAUAAAUAUUGAUCAUAAGCGACAGCUUGACUCAGUUAAAGAGAAGAGGGCCGGCCAACCCGGUGCCAGCCGCCGCGGCUAAACCCUAGGGCCCAAAUUGAUAAAACUCGGCGUCAAUCGUGAUUAAAGUCUUCUAAAAUUAGAGUGGAACCUACUACUAAGCCGUGAAAAGCAAUUUUUUUAGGGAAAAUCAGAAACGAAAGUUACUCUAAUGCACACUUGAACACACGACAACUG